AGUCCGGAGGAGAGACAAGAGGAGGAGGCGGAAAGUGAAUCUGAAACAGACAGUGGCACUGAAUAUGCAGCCACAGCAGAGGAUGAGGUGGAAAAAAAAGAAACGGUUGAAAUAGGGACACAAACAGAGCCCUCAGUUACACAAUUCAGGGACCUUCGUCAGGCACUGCGAAAUUUUGUAGAGGCUGCAAGAGUACUAGAGCAUUCACUUCAAAAUCUUUAAGAAAUUCAUUGUAUAUAUUUUUCUUUGUUUUACAACAAUCAUUUUAUGAAUAAUUAAAAAUUUAUAUUUAUAA